rnacentral:ribozyme from 12 species
UUUUUCCUCUUUUAUAAUAUUUCUAUUGGAACAAAAUGAAAGAAAAAAAACUCACAAUAGCAUGUUGUU